AAACAAAAGCAUUAAAAAUGCAUAUCGGUUUCGGCCCGAUAAGAGCGGCCACGCAUUGUUUU
rnacentral:tRNA from 1 species